CCAGCCCGAAAUUGAUCGGGGAUUUAAUUUUGAAUACCAUCCCCUUCCCCACGGGGGUAUUUUUCGGGAAAAAAUCAUUCUAAUCGGGGUCGGGGGGUCGGAUCCCCGUCGGGCCGGGUUCAAAUUGCCAUCCCUAACAGAUAUGUGUAUGUAUUCCACAUGAUUAUAAGAGAAGAGGUAAAACUGAUCUCUAAGAUGUGGCUAUGGUUUUUCCCCAAAAUCUGUAAAUAUAAUACAGAUUCCAGAUUGUGGGAAUUGGUUGGACCUCAAGAUUGGACAAGUGGUGUGUCCAUGUGCUUUGUAUUAGAUGCUCAGAUGUAGAAAAUUAUAUAUAUAUAUACAGCUCUUCAUUCUAUAGUUAGGUGUCAUCUGCAACAAACUAAAAAAUCUGGGUGUAGGAGGGCUCACCACAUGGGUUCUAAUUCUAAAUCAGCUGUUGAUUUCAUAUAAGGUUCAUCAGGGGUUUAUUUUUCCUAGAUUUCACUUGGAUGGAUUGGAGCUAAGAAAUUCAAAGGUGGAGCAAUCAGCAGCUGAACAUGCACAUAAGCAACCUUUUGUCAUUGAUGUUCAGCAUCAGCAAUGCAAAAGCUCAUGUACACUCAAAGUUGCAUUUCGCUAAUUUGCAGAAUUAACCAGGACAGUAGAUUUCAGGGGGCUUUAGCAUUGGUAUCAGUACCAAUAUGCUUUCUAAUUGUGUAGGAAGGCUUUGCUAUCUUAAUGGGCACUUUCCUGAUAUAGAAUAUGCAAUACACCCUUGAUAUACUUGGCAUUCUCUAGAUGUUACCUUUUAUGGGAUCAGUAGCAGUGAACAUCCACUAUGCCUCACAAUUUUUUUAUCCACUUGCGUUUUUUGAACUUCCACGCAACAAUUUGGCUUAGAAAUGUAGUUACUUUUUGCUUGUUUAGCUAAUAUAGUUUUCAUGUGAAGAAUGGAAAUGAUAUAAACUGAAAAAUCAAUGUGCACUUUAUUUUUCUUUUGAUGGGCUUUACUCAUUUUUUAUUUGAAUUCAUUAAAUAUUGAGCUUAA